GGACGGUUGGCGCAGUUGGUAGCGCAUCACUUUGACAUAGUGGGGGCCGGGGGUUCAAAUCCCUCACCGUCCA
rnacentral:tRNA from 1 species